AUUGAACGCUGGCGGCAUGCCUUACACAUGCAAGUCGAACGGCAGCACGGGUGCUUGCACCUGGUGGCGAGUGGCGAACGGGUGAGUAAUACAUCGGAACAUGUCCUGUAGUGGGGGAUAGCCCGGCGAAAGCCGGAUUAAUACCGCAUACGAUCUACGGAUGAAAGCGGGGGACCUUCGGGCCUCGCGCUAUAGGGUUGGCCGAUGGCUGAUUAGCUAGUUGGUGGGGUAAAGGCCUACCAAGGCGACGAUCAGUAGCUGGUCUGAGAGGACGACCAGCCACACUGGGACUGAGACACGGCCCAGACUCCUACGGGAGGCAGCAGUGGGGAAUUUUGGACAAUGGGCGAAAGCCUGAUCCAGCAAUGCCGCGUGUGUGAAGAAGGCCUUCGGGUUGUAAAGCACUUUUGUCCGGAAAGAAAUCCUUGGCCCUAAUACGGUCGGGGGAUGACGGUACCGGGAGAAUAAGCACCGGCUAACUACGUG
rnacentral:rRNA from 1 species